CCAAGAUGACUGUUCUGAGCACGGUGCAGAUUGACCCUAACAGGACAGACUUAACAGCAAAGGCCAGGCAGAAUACUGGGAAAGAUGAGCUUGAACUGGCUCCUCCUGUAGACACUCCCAUCUCCCCAGAAGUUACCCCCAGGUCUCCCGGCCAUCAGAUGUCUGUGCAUUACUCUGAAUCUGAUGCUCUGAGAAGCCCUGCAGCUGGAAACACUGUUGCUUCAAUACAGGUAGAUGAGUGUGUGGGAGUAGGGGUGGGGAAUUCUCUGUUUUUUGUUUUCUCUUCUUAUUCUAUAAGGAAAACCUAAUAGAUUAAAGAAAAUCAUUUAUGACC
rnacentral:lncRNA from 1 species